GCGGACGUGGCGAAAUCGGUAGACGCAGCGGACUUAAAAUCCGCCUCCCGUAAGGGAAUGCGGGUUCAAGUCCCGCCGUCCGCACCA
rnacentral:tRNA from 1 species